CCGUGGCCAUUUUCGCUCAAG
rnacentral:sRNA from 1 species